AGCGAACGCUGGCGGCAGGCCUAACACAUGCAAGUCGAACGGAUCCUUCGGGAUUAGUGGCGGACGGGUGAGUAACACGUGGGAACGUGCCCUUUGGUUCGGAACAACUCAGGGAAACUUGAGCUAAUACCGGAUGUGCCCUUCGGGGGAAAGAUUUAUCGCCAUUGGAGCGGCCCGCGUCUGAUUAGCUAGUUGGUGAGGUAAAGGCUCACCAAGGCUACGAUCAGUAGCUGGUCUGAGAGGAUGAUCAGCCACAUUGGGACUGAGACACGGCCCAAACUCCUACGGGAGGCAGCAGUGGGGAAUCUUGCGCAAUGGGCGAAAGCCUGACGCAGCCAUGCCGCGUGAAUGAUGAAGGUCUUAGGAUUGUAAAAUUCUUUCACCGGGGACGAUAAUGACGGUACCCGGAGAAGAAGCCCCGGCUAACUUCGUGCCAGCCGCCGCGGUAAUAC
rnacentral:rRNA from 1 species